rnacentral:rRNA from 1 species
CACAAGCGGUGGAGCAUAGUGGUUUAAUUCGAAGCAACGCGAAGAACCUUACCAGGUCUUGGCAUCCCGAUGCUAUUCUAGAGAUAGAAAGUUACUUCGGUACAUCGGUGACAGGUGGUGCAUGGUUGUCGUCAGCUCGUGUCGUGAGAUGUUGGGUUAAGUCCCGCAACGAGCGCAACCCCUAUUGUUAGUUGCCAUCAUUCAGUUGGGCACUCUAGCGAGACUGCCGGUAAUAAACCGGAGGAAGGUGGGAUGACGUCAAAUCAUCAUGCCCCUUAUGACCUGGGCUACACACGUGCUACAAUGGUUGGUACAACGAGUUGCGAGUCGGUGACGGCGAGCUAAUCUCUUAAAGCCAAUCUCAGUUCGGAUUGUAGGCUGCAACUCGCCUACAUGAAGUUGGAAUCGCUAGUAAUCGUGGAUCAGCCAAGCCGCGGUGAAUACGUUCCCGGGCCUU